GAAGGAUACGUCAGCCAUCAGGGUUUCCCCUGAGCUUGCUUUUCUCACCUCCAUUUUCCACCUCCUCACCUCCCUCGUCCCUCCCUCCAGCCGUUUCCAAGGUUCUUCUCAACCAUUUCUCUCACACAAGGCAGAACGCAAGACCCUCCCAGAAGACAAGUACGGAAGAGCCAAUGAGCAAGAAAUAUGCCAACCUGGACCAUUCACUUCUAUCCUUCGAGACCAUGUUCUAGAUACCUAGGACCCUAGAGUAUCCUGCCCAAAGGACCUGGAGUGGAAAUGCAAGACUUGCUUAUGCCUCUUCCUCAGGAGGUCCUGGCAAGGAACAUGGAACUAGUAAGCCACCACCAACUGAAAGAGCUUGGGAAAGAUCAAAAGGAGACACCACAUGUCCAACCACC